rnacentral:rRNA from 1 species
CAGCAGCCGCGGGAAUACGAAGGGUGCAAGCGUUAAUCGGAAUUACUGGGCGUAAAGCGUGCGUAGGCGGUGAGUUAAGUCUGCUGUGAAAUCCCCGGGCUCAACCUGGGAAUGGCAGUGGAUACUGGCUCGCUAGAGUGUGUCAGAGGAUGGUGGAAUUCCCGGUGUAGCGGUGAAAUGCGUAGAGAUCGGAAGGAACAUCUGUGGCGAAGGCGACUAUCUGGGCCAACACUGACACUGAGGCACGAAAGCGUGGGGAGCAAACAGGAUUAGAUACCCCAGUAGUCCCUGUCUCUUAUAC